rnacentral:rRNA from 1 species
UACGUAGGGACCAAGCGUUGUUCGGAUUUACUGGGCGUAAAGGGCGCGUAGGCGGCCAGCACAAGUCAGUUGUGAAAUCUCCGGGCUUAACUCGGAAAGGUCAACUGAUACUGUGCGGCUAGAGUGCAGAAGGGGCAACUGGAAUUCUCGGUGUAGCGGUGAAAUGCGUAGAUAUCGAGAGGAACACCUGCGGCGAAGGCGGGUUGCUGGGCUGACACUGACGCUGAUGCGCGAAAGCCAGGGGAGCGAACGGG